rnacentral:lncRNA from 1 species
AAAUAAAAUAAAAUAAAUCAGAGAGGAGCUUUUUACUUUCUUAAAAUGAUUUUAUAGGGGGUUUAUUAUUAUUAGUCCAUGGCUUAUAAACUCUUGUCACAGGGUCUUAUGUCGUUUCACUUUUUUAAAAAAACAGGCAGCACACUUAAUGUCUUUCUGAAACUAUUAAUAAUAAAUUCUUGCAUGUUACCGUGUUUCUCUCUCUUCGAUCCACCACUCUCUCUCUCUCUCUUUCCCGUUUCUUUCAGUCUCUCUCUCUCCAAAACCCGCUAAUCUCCGUUUUUAACCCCCAUCUCUCUCUCUCUCUGGCUCUAUCUCUCGGUUUCCUUAUUUCCAAAUCCCUCUUUCUCAAUCUCAGUUUCCUUAUUUCCACAUCCCUUUUUGGCAUUCACAGUUUCCUAAUCUUCUUUUUUUAACACCCUCUCUCUCUCUAAGUUUCUUUUUGCAGUUUGUUCUGAUCAUGCGGGCUUCUCUCUCUCUCGCUCUUCUUUUUCUUUUUUUGACAGUCAUGCGGGGUUCUCUCUUACAUUCAGCGUGAAAGGGGUAUUGAAUCACCAUUAACCAUGUGACCCCAUAUUUGGCUUUCAGGCAUGAUAUCCUGCAACAAAACCGUCAUUCAUAGCCCCCUCCUCCUCUCCAUUAACCUAAUAUCUCGACCAUGUUCUUCCCUUCUUCAUAAUAAAUACUCGUUUCUUACUUACUAUACUCUCUCUCCCCUUCAUUUCCCUUAUUGUCUCUAUCGAAAUCAUCCCACACAGAUUCAGUCCCUCCAUCUCUUUCCUAUUCUCUCUCGAACCUUUCAUACUUAUCUCUUUACCCAUAAACGUUAAACCCCAAUUUUUAGAGUAACUGAUUUCAUUCAAAUCUCUCUCUUUUUGUCUCUCCCGCCAUUUGGAAAAGAUUUCCUUCAAAUUUGUUCAGCUUUUUUCGAGAAAGAAUUGCCAUUUGGAGAGGGGUUUCUUUAAAGCACUCUCUCUCCUCUUCAAUGUAAAUAGUGUUGUAGGAUAUAUACGUGUACAGGCAAGGUCGUUUUUGCAGGCCCUUGUGUGUGUACUACUGUAGCGAGAGAGAGAGAGGUGGCUUUUGCAGGUUCUGAAGAGAGAGAGAGAGAGAGAGAGAGAGAGAGAGAGAGAGAGAGAGU